rnacentral:rRNA from 1 species
AUCCAGCCAUGCCGCGUGUGUGAAGAAGGCCCUCGGGUUGUAAAGCACUUUCAGCGAGGAAGAACGCCUAGUGGUUAAUACCCAUUAGGAAAGACAUCACUCGCAGAAGAAGCACCGGCUAACUCCGUGCCAGCAGCCGCGGUAAUACGGAGGGUGCAAGCGUUAAUCGGAAUUACUGGGCGUAAAGCGCGCGUAGGUGGCUUGAUAAGCCGGUUGUGAAAGCCCCGGGCUCAACCUGGGAACGGCAUCCGGAACUGUCAGGCUAGAGUGCAGGAGAGGAAGGUAGAAUUCCCGGUGUAGCGGUGAAAUGCGUAGAGAUCGGGAGGAAUACCAGUGGCGAAGGCGGCCUUCUGGACUGACACUGACACUGAGGUGCGAAAGCGUGGGUAGCAAACAGGAUUAGAUACCCUGGUAGUCCACGCCGUAAACGAUGUCGACCAGCCGUUGGGUGCCUAGAGCACUUUGUGGCGAAGUUAACGCGAUAAGUCGACCGCCUGGGGAGUACGGCCGCAAGGUUAAAACUCAAAUGAAUUGACGGGGGCCCGCACAAGCGGUGGAGCAUGUGGUUUAAUUCGAUGCAACGCGAAGAACCUUACCUACCCUUGACAUCUACAGAAGCCGGAAGAGAUUCUGGUGUGCCUUCGGGAACUGUAAGACAGGUGCUGCAUGGCUGUCGUCAGCUCGUGUUGUGAAAUGUUGGGUUAAGUCCCGUAACGAGCGCAACCCUUGUCCUUAUUUGCCAGCACGUAAUGGUGGGAACUCUAAGGAGACUGCCGGUGACAAACCGGAGGAAGGUGGGGACGACGUCAAGUCAUCAUGGCCCUUACGGGUAGGGCUACCCACGUGCUACAAUGGCCGGUACAAAGGG